rnacentral:rRNA from 1 species
GACGAACGCUGGCGGCGUGCUUAACACAUGCAAGUCGAACGGAAAGGCCUGCUUUCCCUUGUGGAUUGCGGGUACUCGAGUGGCGAACGGGUGAGUAACACGUGAGUGAUCUGCCCCCAACUUGGGUAUAAGCCUGGGAAACUGGGUCUAAUUCCCGAUAGGACUGCAGGGUGGUGCCUGUGGUGGAAAACGAUUUUCUAGUGGUUGGGGAUGAGCUCGCGGCCUAUCAGCUUGUUGGUGGGGUAAUGGCCUACCAAGGCGGCGACGGGUAGCCGGCCUGGGAGGGUGGACGGCCACAUUGGGACUGAGAUACGGCCCAGACUCCUACGGGAGGCAGCAGUGGGGAAUAUUGCCCAAUGGGCGGAAGCCUGAUGCAGCGACGCCGCGUGGGGGAUGACGGCCUUCGGGUUGUAAACUCCUUUCGACCGCGAGGAAGCCACCUGGUUGGAAGGGUGGUGACGGUAGUGGUAGAAGAAGCACCGGCUAACUACGUG